ensembl:lncRNA
GAGAGCUAUCGCGGCAGCCCCAGGCAACACCAUUGUGUAUUGUGUGUAUUUUCCACCCUUCCUGCUGAUUCGCAUAGAUGUCAGCCUCAUGCCCACUGCCUCUUGCUUUUUUUUAGGUGGUGGUGGUGUUGUGUUGUUGUCCUUACCGCAGAUUUGCCGGGAAAUCCUUCUCGUACCGGGAGAAGCUUCCCACCGCACCGACCGGCUGCCUCCUGCUGCUGUCAUUGAAGGAAUGAAAAAAACAAGAGGGGAGCGUUCAGUUUUCAACCCCCCCGAUGCAACAAAACGAAGGGGUUUACAUUUCUCCUCUGCUGGCUGCAUCCACCAAUCAUGUCGCUUUUUACUCCUCCAUCAUUACCGGGUUUGAAGGGCGGAAGAAAAGAAAUAAGACAUUCCACGUCUUUUGCAGAUCGGGUUGCGUUUCCCGGAUGUUGAGCUUCGUUGCUGGACUUAAAUUGCUGUUUGUGAGAUGCAGGAUGUAUCAGAUGUUAACUUUUGCCUUUUUAGGGAUCUGUUUCGCUAGAAGGCUGAUCCGAGUGUGUCUUCUGAGAAGACUUGGAACCUCUCUUUGUUUCCAGCUUCACCUGGAGUGCGCUGACUUUUAGCAUCACCAGCCCGUUACCUUCUUCCAUUAUUCUCCAGCUAAACACGCUUUUUAUGAUACACAAUAAACUUUUAUUCAGAGCCUAUUCAAUCCCUUGUAGCUGUGUGUGUCAGGAACCUCUGACUUCAAAGAGACACAUCACAAAUUUAUAGUCACAUGUUGACAUUUGGGACUUAAAGUUUGACUUUGUUCAAAAGACUAUGACCCCAUCUUAAACUCUUUUUUUCUUUAACUUUCAACCAUACUACGCAAUCUUCAUUAUUGAUUAUCACUGACCCUUUACUUACUCAUCCUAGGUGGCUUAAAAGCUAAAAAAAAAAAAAAAAAAAAAAAGAUUCCCUGUGCUGAUUCUGUUAUAGUUAUAGUUACUGUGUGUAAAUAUGUUUGAGUCCAUUAUUGUUACAGGUGCACUAUAGCAUCUACAUUUUCAUUAGUAUUUCAAGCAGAGGUGUUGGGGAAUAAACUAUUUGUACGUAUUAACAGUUUACCUCAAACACAUUUUUAAACAAACAAUAAAACAAUUAUCUAGACAAAUGUGUUUAUGUUUUUUCCUUCCUUUUAAUAAUGAAACCGUAUGUAUCAAACCUAAUUUUGAACAUUUAAAAUCCCAUAUUGUAUCAAAGUUACAUUUACAAAUAUCAACAUAUUUCUUGUCAAAUUACUGCCAUCUAUAGUUGUGCU